UUUGGCCUAAACUCAGUUAAAUCUCAGAUGCCUGUGCCAAGACAAUUCCAAUUUAGCAUCACCUUACAUUAUUUAAAGCUGUGAGUGAGGACAUAUUCAUAGGGGCCAUUGAAAAGAACUGGCUUGGAAUUUGUGUUUGCUUUUGUUUGUUCUCAAAGAGGGAGUUGGAGACCAAAAGACAUGGUAAAAGGGGGUGGGGGAACAAAGACAAUCCCCUGGUUUAUCUAUCCAGUGAAUAUCUUGAGCACUUCAUGCCUGAUAGAUACCACACUAGGGGCGAGACGUGAAGCAAUAAAUAAGACCCAAUCUCUGCUCUCGAGAGGCUCUUGGGGAUUCAAAUAUUUAUAACCGAAAUGAGAAAUCCUCAAAAUACAAAGUGCUAAGUGGUGUAUGUAGGGCACCUACACUUAGGGAGGAGGAUUCGCUUGAGCUGGAACUGAAAAAACAAGUGAAGUUUGCAUGGGGAGAAGAGCACUCUUGACAGAGGGAAGAGCUUGUGAGAAGAUGGGCAUAAAAAGGCAGGGAAUGUUCUAGAAGCACCAAGUGAUGGCAGGAGACAGAAUGGUAGGGGAGCAGGAGGAAUGUAAGUUGAGGCAGAUUCAAAAGAGUCUGAUACAUGAUAGUAAGGAUUUGAGAUUUAUUCUGUAAGCACAUGGAGUCAUCAGUGGUGCUUAACAAGGAAGAAAGUCAGCAAUACCUGGAGAGCAUGUGUCAGCAGACUCCCUCUCAGACAGACUUACCCGCUGCCAUCACGUUCCUUGUUUUGGAAAGAGGAGGCUAAUGCUGGAGUGGAGGAUGCUCUGCACGUGGAGAUCUCGGCAUGGCAGGGUCUUAUGGAAGUACUUGAAACCCCCUGGCUGGAGACACUGGAUGAUGUUGACUCAACCCCAAUCCUAUACCUAAGAAGUGACAAACCCGAGGCUUGGCUGAGACUGCAAGGAAGAAUGCCAAAAGACUUUUCCAGAAAUAGUACAGUGACCAUGUCACUUUCAGUUCAACAAGUCUCUCCUUCCCUACACAGCCAAGUUUAGAAUGAUCUUAAAGGUAUUUGAGCUAUUUGUUUUCUGUUCCUUCUCUUCCCUUUAAACAAUAGAUCUAAAACACAUGGAGAAUAACAAAACCAAGAACUGGUUCUUUGAAAAGAUCAACAAAGGAGACAGAUGUUUAGCUAGGUUGACUAAGAAAAACAAGAGUGAAACUAAAAUAGCUAAAAUCAGAAAUGGAAGAGAGUCAUGACUACUGAUUAUAUAGAAAUUUAAAAAGAUCAUUAGAGAGUAUUAUAACCAGUCGCAUGUCAAGAAAUUGGAUAACCCAGAUAAAGUGGACACAUUCCUAGAAACACACAGUCUACCAAGACUCAAUCAUGAAGAAAUUGAAAAUCUGUGCAGACCUAUAACUAAUAAGGAGAUUUAAUUAGUAAUCAAAGACCUCACCAUAAAGAAAAGUCCAGGACCAGAUGGUUUUAUUGGCAAAUUCUACUAAGCAUUUAAAGAAUUAAAAAAAAUGAAUAAAAAUAAAAAAAUAAAAAGAAAGAAAGAAAGA
rnacentral:lncRNA from 12 species